rnacentral:rRNA from 1 species
GAUAGAGGCCUACCAUGGUUUUAACGGGUAACGGGGAAUUAGGGUUCGAUUCCGGAGAGGGAGCCUGAGAAACGGCUACCACAUCCAAGGAAGGCAGCAGGCGCGCAAAUUACCCAAUCCCGACACGGGGAGGUAGUGACAAUAAAUAACAAUACGGGGCUCAUUUGGGUCUCGUAAUUGGAAUGAGUACAAUUUAAAUCUCUUAACGAGGAACAAUUGGAGGGCAAGUCUGGUGCCAGCAGCCGCGGUAAUUCCAGCUCCAAUAGCGUAUAUUAAAGUUGUUGCAGUUAAAAAGCUCGUAGUUGAACUUCGGGGUUUACCCAUUGGUCAGGCUUAAUUGUCUGUACUGGUGAGAUAAAUCUCUACCUUCUGAGGAACUUUCAUGUCAUUGAUUUGGUGUGAUUGGAAAUCAGGACUGUUACUUUGAAAAAAUUAGAGUGUUUAAAGCAGGCUAACGUCUGAAUACAUUAGCAUGGAAUAAUGAAAUAGGACGGAUUGAUUCUAUUUCGUUGGUUUCUAGGAUCACCGUAAUGAUUAAUAGGGAUAGUUGGGGGCAUUAGUAUUCAAUUGUCAGAGGUGAAAUUCUUGGAUUUAUUGAAGACUAACUACUGCGAAAGCAUUUGCCAAGGAUGUUUUCAUUAAUCAAGAACGAAGGUUAGGGGAUCGAAGACGAUCAGAUACCGUCGUAGUCUUAACCAUAAACUAUGCCGACUAGGGAUCGGACGAA